rnacentral:rRNA from 1 species
AAAGGAAUUGACGGGGGCCCGCACAAGCGGUGGAGUAUGUGGUUUAAUUCGACGCAACGCGAAGAACCUUACCAGCUUUUGACAUGGGCAGUAUGGGGCGUAGAGAUAUGCUUCUUCACUUCGGGUGGCUGCCACACAGGUGCUGCAUGGCUGUCGUCAGCUCGUGUCGUGAGAUGUUGGGUUAAGUCCCGCAACGAGCGCAACCCUUAUUCUUAGUUGCCAUCAUUCAGUUGGGCACUCUAAGGAAACUGCCGGUGACAAGCCGGAGGAAGGCGGGGAUGACGUCAAGUCCUCAUGGCCCUUACAGGCUGGGCUACACACGUACUACAAUGGCGGCCACAACGGGAAGCGAACCUGCGAGGGGGAGCGAAUCCUUUAAAAGCCGUCUCAGUUCGGAUUGCACUCUGCAACUCGGGUGCAUGAAGUCGGAAUCGCUAGUAAUCGCGUAUCAGCAUGACGCGGUGAAUACGUUCCCGGGCCUUGUACACACCGCCCGU